rnacentral:lncRNA from 1 species
GGCGAAAGUGUGCUAAUCCCUAUGUUGUGCGGAGCUGAGUAUCUUCUAUUCGCUGGGAUAAAGCCUUUCCUCUGCAGGGGCCUUGUGCAGUAAACCCCCUACGGGCGGUCGUCCGUCGUCCUAAAGUAGUCCCCGCGAAGCUUUCGGGAAGAGGGGUAGUCUUGUGUGUAAGCAUAGCAUUUCUGGUCGAACCCGCCCAACCCAACUAAGAAGAACCGAACCUGACAGACACAUC